GAGUUUGAUCCUGGCUCAGAUUGAACGCUGGCGGCAUGCCUUACACAUGCAAGUCGAACGGCAGCACGGGAGCAAUCCUGGUGGCGAGUGGCGAACGGGUGAGUAAUAUAUCGGAACGUGCCCAGUCGUGGGGGAUAACGUAGAGAAAUUUACGCUAAUACCGCAUACGAUCUAAGGAUGAAAGCGGGGGAUUCGCAAGGACCUCGCGCGAUUGGAGCGGCUGAUAUCAGAUUAGGUUGUUGGUGAGGUAAAAGCUCACCAAGCCGACGAUCUGUAGCUGGUUUGAGAGAACGACCAGCCACACUGGGACUGAGACACGGCCCAGACUCCUACGGGAGGCAGCAGUGGGGAAUUUUGGACAAUGGGCGAAAGCCUGAUCCAGCAAUGCCGCGUGCAGGAAGAAGGCCUUCGGGUUGUAAACUGCUUUUGUACGGAACGAAAAGGUCUGCCCUAAUACGGCGGGCCCAUGACGGUACCGUAAGAAUAAGCACCGGCUAACUACGUGCCAGCAGCCGCGGUAAUACGUAGGGUGCGAGCGUUAAUCGGAAUUACUGGGCGUAAAGCGUGCGCAGGCGGUUAUGUAAGACAGUUGUGAAAUCCCCGGGCUCAACCUGGGAAUUGCAUCUGUGACUGCAUAGCUAGAGUACGGUA
rnacentral:rRNA from 1 species